rnacentral:rRNA from 1 species
GACGAACGCUGGCGGCGUGCUUAACACAUGCAAGUCGAACGGAAAGGCCCUGCUUUUGUGGGGUGCUCGUGUGGCGAACGGGUGAGUAUCACGUGAGUAACCUGCCCUUGACUUUGGGAUAACUUCAGGAAACUGGGGCUAAUACCGGAUAGGAGCUCCUGCUGCAUGGUGGGGGUUGGAAAGUUUCGGCGGUUGGGGAUGGACUCGCGGCUUAUCAGCUUGUUGGUGGGGUAGUGGCUUACCAAGGCUUUGACGGGUAGCCGGCCUGAGAGGGUGACCGGCCACAUUGGGACUGAGAUACGGCCCAGACUCCUACGGGAGGCAGCAGUGGGGAAUAUUGCACAAUGGGCGGAAGCCUGAUGCAGCAACGCCGCGUGCGGGAUGACGGCCUUCGGGUUGUAAACCGCUUUCGCCUGUGACGAAGCGUGAGUGACGGUAAUGGGUAAAGAAGCACCGGCUAACUACGUG